UAGUAAUACAAGGCAGACGGCUCAGUAACACGUAGACACCUAACUUAUGGACGGGGAUAACCUCGGGAAACUGAGAAUAAUACCCGAUAGGUCAUGAUGCCUGGAAUGGUUUAUGACUCAAAUAAUUUAUUGCCGUAGGAUGGGACUGCGAGCUAUCAGCUUGUUGGUGAGGUAAUGGCCCACCAAGGCUAUUACAGCUACGGGCUCUGAGAGGAGUAGCCCGGAGAUGGGUACUGAGACAAGGACCCAGGCCCUAUGGGGCGCAGCAGGCGAGAAAACUUUGCAAUGCGCGAAAGCUCGACAAGGUUAAUCUGAGUGGUUCCUGCUAAAGGAACCUUUUGUUAGUCGUAGAACCACUGAUGAAUAAGGGGUGGGCAAGUUCUGGUGUCAGCCGCCGCGGUAAAACCAGCACCUCAAGUGGUCAGGAUGAUUAUUGGGCCUAAAGCAUCCGUAGCCUGUUCUGUAAGUUUUCGGUUAAAUCCAUAAGCUCAACUUAUGGGCUGCCGAAAAUACUGCAGAACUAGGGAGUGGGAGAGGUAGACGGUACUCGGUAGGAAGGGGUAAAAUCCUUUGAUCUAUUGAUGACCACCUGUGGCGAAGGCGGUCUACCAGAACACGUUCGACGGUGAGGGAUGAAGGCUGGGGGAGCAAACCGGAUUAGAUACCCGGGUAGUCCCAGCUGUAAACGAU
rnacentral:rRNA from 1 species